rnacentral:rRNA from 1 species
AUUGAACGCUGGCGGCAGGCCUAACACAUGCAAGUCGAGCGGAUGAAGGGAGCUUGCUCCUGGAUUCAGCGGCGGACGGGUGAGUAAUGCCUAGGAAUCUGCCUGGUAGUGGGGGAUAACGUCCGGAAACGGGCGCUAAUACCGCAUACGUCCUGAGGGAGAAAGUGGGGGAUCUUCGGACCUCACGCUAUCAGAUGAGCCUAGGUCGGAUUAGCUAGUUGGUGGGGUAAAGGCCUACCAAGGCGACGAUCCGUAACUGGUCUGAGAGGAUGAUCAGUCACACUGGAACUGAGUCACGGUCCAGACUCCUACGGGAGGCAGCAGUGGGGAAUAUUGGACAAUGGGCGAAAGCCUGGUCCAGCCAUGCCGCGUGUGUGAAGAAGGUCUUCGGAUUGUAAAGCACUUUAAGUUGGGAGGAAGGGCAGUAAGUUAAUACCUUGCUGUUUUGACGUUACCAACAGAAUAAGCACCGGCUAACUUCGUG